rnacentral:lncRNA from 1 species
GAGAAUUUGCAGCCUUCAAGUAGCCACCAUCAUGGCAGCAUCUGCUCUUAUUUCUUAAGUCUUGUGUUCGUACAAUUUGUUAACAUCAAAACACAGUUCUGUUCCUCAAAUCUUUUUUUAAAGAUACAAAAUUUCCAAUGCAUAAGCUGAUGUGGAACAGAAUGGAAUUUCCCAUCCAACAAAAGAGGAAAGAAUGUUUUAGGAACCAGAAUUCUCUGCUGCCAGUGUUUCUUCAACAAAAAUACCACGAGCAUACAAGUCUGCCCAGUCCCAGGAAGAAAGAGGAGAGACCCUGAAUUCUGACCUUUUGAUGGUCAGGCAUGAUGGAAAGAAACUGCUGCUACAGCUUGGGAGAUUUGCUAUGGAAAGUCUGCCAGUCAACUUUGCCCUUCUAACCACCAGAUCAAUUUGUGGCUGAUCAUCUGAUGGGGCAGUUUCAAUCACCAAGCAUCGUUCUCUUUCCUGUUCUGGAAUUUUGUUUUGGAGCUCUUUCCCCUAGUGACCACCAGUUAGUUUCUGAGGGAUGGAACAAAAAUGCAGCUUGCCCUUUCUAUGUGGUGCGUGUUCAGGCCUUGACAGAUUUUAUCAAAAGGAAACUAUUUUAUUUAAAUGGAGGCUGAGUGGUGAGUAGAUGUGUCUUGGUAUGGAGGAAAAGGGCAUGCUGCAUCUUCUUCCUGACCUCCGGGGUCUCUGGCCUUUUGUUUCCUUGCUCACUGAGGGGUCUGUCUAACCAAGCAGGCUAGAUAGUGCUGGCACACAUUGCCUUCUUUCUCAUUGGGUCCAGCAAUGAAGAUAAGUGUUUGGGUUUUUUUUUUUUCCUCCACAAUGUAGCAAAUUCUCAGGAAAUACAGUUUAUAUCUUCCUCCUAUGCUCUUCCAGUCACCAACUACUUAUGCGGCUACUUUGUCCAGGGCACAAAAUGCCGUGGCAGUAUCUAACUAAACCCCCACAAAACUGCUUAAUAACAGUUUUGAAUGUGAGAAAUUUAUGGUAUCUCAUUUGAACGGGGGAGCAGACUUGAUCUCAAAUGAAGCUGUGCCCAGGAGCCAGGCUUAGCAUAUUGAGAUUUUUAUAGAUACCUUAAAAAAUAAAAUAUUUAAACCUCUCUUUUCUUCCUUUUUCUAUGAAAUAGGUUUUUUCUCUAGUUUACAAAUGACAUGAAAAUAGGUUUUAUUUGUGUUUUAUCUGCUUUAUUUUUUGAUGCUUAGACAACAGUUAGACUUACUGAGCUCCUAAAAAAACGAGGAAGAAGUCCUUAUUUGUGAAAAGCACUUUAUGAGUAAUUGUAUAGACAGUAUGUGGCUGCGUCACUGAUCAUCUUGUAAGGGUGUAACAGUCUUGUCUGUAAAGUGGCUGCAGUGCCUUCUGUAGUGUGUUUUAUUUUUGGUAGGGAGAGGUGAAGCCUUCUGAAAAAUUUGAGAGCAACUACAGAGGAUUGUUUGUAACUGUGUAGUAUUCCUGAUGGACUUUUUUCAUCGUUAGAGUCAAGGACCUAGACUUUUGCCACUGAAAUAAUAUUGACCAAAAAAAUAGUUUAUAAAAGGGAUUUGUGAAUAGAAAAUUCAGUGUGAUCAUUUGUUGUUAAUGUGCACCUUAAAAGAAGAUUCUGUCUAGCUGUCAAAUUCUGGUUCCCGAAUAUCUCACCCCUGAUUGUAUUUGAGAUCUAGUAGGGCAUACUGGGGCAUUUUAGAAGAUAAAAUCCCAUACAAAUGAUAUAUGCUAUAUUUAUGUUGGUGUUGGAGAAGAAAGAGCAGUAUAUAAAGAAAUAAUUCAAGACUGCAGCACUGUCAACCUGAAACUUUGUAAAUAUUUCCUAGCUUCUGGUUUGGUGCGGUGACAGCACUUUCAUCACAGGAUGUUACCUUGUAUUCACCAGGCGGAGUGCGAGCUGCUGCACAUCCUCCUCAGAUCUCACCUGUCCCCACUGUACAUCCACCCGCCAGCUGCUUGCAAACCUCAUCUCUAGCUUUAGUUCGAAACCACAUUGCAGGGUUCAGGUGACCUCUACAAAAAACUACCUCUUCAGAAUGAGGUAAUGAAUAGUUAUUUAUUUUAAAAUAUGAAAAGUCAGGAGCUCUAGAACAUGACGAUGAUUUAAGAUUUUAACUUUUUUGUGUACUUGUAUUUGAGCACUCUCAUUUUGUCCUAAAGGGCAUUAUACAUUUAAGCAGUAAUACUGUAAAAAAAUGUGUUGCUCGGAAUAUCUGAAUGUUGUUGAAAGUGGUGCCAGAACCGGUUUAGGGGUACGUUUCAGAAUCUUAACCUUGAGUCAAUUGCAUGAAAUUAAAUAGCUGUGGUAUCACUUCACUAACAGUGAUGUAAUUUUAAUUUUCAGUAGGCUUGGCAUGACAGUACAUCCUCAUAAUGAGUUUGCUGCAGCUUUGUCACAUGCACAGGCAUUCAUAGAAAGACCACCCAGCUAAGAGGGUAGAAUGAUUACUCUUUUUGCAAGAUUCUCUUCUUUGUCCAAGUUGGCAUUGUUAGUGCUAGGAAUACCAGCACCUUGAGACGAGCAGAUUCCAACCAUUAGGCUAUAAACACCAUAGCCAGAGAUGGAAGGUUUACUGUGAGUAUGAACAGCAAAUAGCUUACAGGUCAUGAGUUGAAAUGGUGUAGGUGAGGCUCUAGAAAAAUACCUUGACAAUUUGCCAAAUGAUCUUACUGUGCCUUCAUGAUGCAAUAAAAAAGCUAACAUUUUAGCAGAAAUCAGUGAUUUGUGAAGAGAGCAGCCACUCUGGUUUAACUCAGCUGUGUUAAUAAUUUUUAGAGUGCAAUUUAGACUGCAUAGGUAAAUGCACUAAAGAGUUUAUAGCCAAAAUCACAUUAUUAAGGUAACAGUGCUUUAAAAAAAAAAAAUGCAUGGGGCAAUUAGUCGGCAACUCAAUGAGUGACUAAAGUACUUUUAUUUAACAUCCACAACUUCAACUGUUAAGUUUUAUUAAUUACUAAAUCAGCUUUAUUAAAAUGUUGACAUUUAUUUAGCUAUUUUGAAUAAUUAUAGUGACUUGACGAGUGUGUAUGAGGACACAGCCAAUGUAAGCCAGUGUAUCCAUUUUUUAGAGGUGCAUUUUUUUUUAAAGAAUUCUGUAGAUAGAAGUGCUCUGAAAACAACUAAAAUAUGUUUAUUCAUGGUAGUAUCAAAAAAUGUUUGUACAAACCAUCUGCUUCUCCCGGCCAGCCGAGUUCAUUCUCCAGCACCGUGACCGCUGGUUCUCAUGUACAGCACAUAUGCGGGAGAGUUGGCAGAAAAUUUGUGAAGAGAUGCCGCAAAGGAAGGGUCUGUUGACGGGUGGGAUUGGGGGUUUUGAUGAAGUUGCUUAGUCCUGGUUUUGUUUUGAAAAUUACUGCGUUGCAUUUUUGUGUUAAGUUUUUGAACCCACGUGUGUUUUGGUGGAGUAUGAGUUGGAAGUCACUGCAAACUAGCAUAAACAACAAAGCUCACAGAGUAGGCACAGAUGUAGAGAACAGAGACCAAAAUGGGGUGAGGUGGCAGUAAAUCUAGGAUAGGGAAAAAUUAAUGUGAGGGUGGGAAAUAAACUGUAAUUACCUGAAAUCAAAUGUAAGAGUGCAAUAAGUAUGCUUUUUAUUCUAAGCUGUGAACGGUUUUUUUAAGAAUCAUUCCUUCCUAAUACAUUUGUGUAUGUUCCAUAGCUGAUUAAAACCAGCUAUAUCAACAUAUAAUGCCUUUUUAUUCAUGUUAAUGACCAACGUAAGUGGCUAGCCUUUAUGUCUUAUUUAUCUUCAUGUUAUGUUAGUUUACAUACAGGGGUGUAUGUCUCUGUGCUGUCCCCUUCUCCUGCCUUCAUUUUAAAAUGCAUCCAUGGGUCCUCCGUGUUUCCUUUGGCCAUGCCACAUAUAUAGACUCAGUUUGGCCUUCAUGAUAUCGCCUGAUUUUUGAGGACUGUAUCACAGUGAUAUGUAUUUGUGGUAAUCUCAUUUGUUGGUUGUACAUCUGAUCCUUUCCUCAACAUGGCAAUUGCUGCCUUUCCUAAGAUAGGAUCAUACAACUGAUCAGGGGAUUGAAUUUGAUCAUUCAUCAACAUGUGUCUCUGAAUUUUAUUCAGUAGUUGUCAUUGCUCUUUGGUUUAGACCAAGAAAAAGGAAAUCCCCCCUUUUCAUGUAUUCCUUGGUUUGAGGACAUGACUCCUGUAAGGGAGAGGAAAGGGAGAUGCUUCCUGUUUGAACUGCAGUGAAUUCACGGUUCCUGUUUCACCACUCCAAACCUUAUGGCGACUCACACACACAUUCCUCUUUUCUGUUACUGCCAAAGGUUCGGGUUUAGUACACUUCAGUUCCACUCAAGCAUUGAAAAGGUUCUCGUGGAGUCUGGGGCGUGCCCAGUGAAAAGAUGGGGACUUU